AUAACAAUUGACAAUUGAAAUACACCAGGAUGGAGGAAGAAAAUCUAACCAAUGCAUCUUGUAGUAUUGGAGGAAGAAAGGGACUUAUUAAUAGUCUUGGCCUCGUCAAGAAGUCGUCCUUCUGCUCCAGUUUUUCCCACUUUCUCACAGCCAGCCAAGUCCACAAGAAUCAGUUUCCCUGUUUGGUUCUGUAAACUGAUCUCAGAUCUGCAAUCUAUGCAAGCAUUAAAAUUGAACAAUAGGAUCAAAAUCGUUCCUUUUAUCAACAGGAGUUGCCUGUUGAACUGUAAAUAUGUAGACGCAGUGACUUCUGCUACUAGAAACGUUCAUCUCUAUAUAUACCAAAAUUGAAAAAUAGAAGCAUCAAGAUUUAUUAUCUA